AGUUAGGAAUCUUGCGCAAUGGGCGAAAGCCUGACGCAGCGACGCCGCGUGAGGGAUGAAGGCCUUCGGGUUGUAAACCUCUUUUGGCAGGGAAGAACACUGACGGUACCUGCAGAAUAAGCACCGGCUAACUCUGUGCCAGCAGCCGCGGUAAUACAGAGGGUGCAAGCGUUAUUCGGAAUUACUGGGCGUAAAGCGCACGUAGGUGGUUUUGUAAGUCUGAUGUGAAAUCCCACGACUCAAUCGUGGAAGUGCAUUGGAUACUGCCAGACUAGAGUACAGGAGGGGUAAGCGGAAUUCCAGGUGUAGAGGUGAAAUUCGUAGAUAUCUGGAGGAACAACGGUGGCGAAGGCGGCUUACUGGACUGUAACUGACACUGAGGUGCGAAAGCGUGGGUAGCAAA
rnacentral:rRNA from 1 species